rnacentral:rRNA from 1 species
UACGUAGGGUGCAAGCGUUUAUCGGAAUUGCUGGGCGUAAAGCGUGCGCAGGCGGCUUUGCAAGACAGAUGUGAAAUCCCCGGGCUCAACCUGGGAACUGCAUUUGUGACUGCAUCGCUGGAGUGCGGCAGAGGGGGAUGGAAUUCCGCGUGUAGCAGUGAAAUGCGUAGAUAUGCGGAGGAACACCGAUGGCGAAGGCAAUCCCCUGGGCCUGCACUGACGCUCAUGCACGAAAGCGUGGGGAGCAAACAGG